GUUUUAGAAGCUAAGGUAGCGUCUUAUUUUGUAAAUAAGAAGAAGUUGGUUGUUUCCAACCUAAAACU
rnacentral:tRNA from 1 species